rnacentral:rRNA from 1 species
AUGCCACGUGCUUGGAUUGCUGCCCAUGGAUGUGGUGAUGGGCGGGUCGUUGCUCGUGCCCGAGGUUCUGGACUAGCUGGUGCUCGUGGGCGAGCCUCUGCCCGUGGUCAUGGUAAUGUAGCUGUGCCCGUGCCUGGCGAUGUCCUCCCUAGGCCUGUCGCCAGCCGUGGUGGUGCUCAAGCCAGAUGUGUUGGGCGUGGUCGUGCCCGUGGACGAGGUUCUGGUCGUGGUCGUGGUUGUGGUGAUAUAGACGGCACCCUCCCUGGGCAUGUCGCCAGCCGUGGUGGUGCUCGAGCCAGAGGCGCUGGACGUGGUCGUGCGGGUGAACGACCACCUAGUCGUGGGCGUGGGCAUGGUAGCGUUUCUUUGCUAGAUAGUGCCAUUGGCCGUGCUGCUCCUCUUCUUGCCAAUGUUCAGCCUGGGCCUGCUGCUGCUCGUGGACAUGUGCCUGGGACCGCUAAGCGCUAUGUGCCCCGUCCACCUCUCGGGGCCCUUCCUCGCAGCCGUCCACGUGAUAGUUGGUUUCCCUAUCUGAGUCCGGCUGUGACGACGGUUAAUCGUAUAAAACGGAAGGCGUCCAUGAAACUACGUCGGUCUAAAUACGAAGAUCACGUUGUUAUGGGCCCUUUAGAAAGGGAUUGGCAGGGUUACUCGGUUGCAUUUGCUGAGUCGCUUAAAGGUAUUUAUUAG